rnacentral:lncRNA from 1 species
CAGGGGAGAUACCAUGAUCACGAAGAGAAGCGGUUUUAUGCAGCACGAACGUUGAUUGACGUAGAGGUCGCUGCUGGGAUCCACAACCAGUCAAAACGCUGAUAAUAAAUGAGUUCAGAUGAAUGGUCUACACCAACCGCACAACUCAUAAGAAUUUAAGAACUGGCAGCAUGUGAAUGGGAGUAGAGCUGUGAAAUGCUGUCUACUGGAGGUGAUGCAGCGGUCGCACACGUCACCUCACAGAAGCUGUAUUUACAUGUACGUACAAAACCUGCGCAGGGGAGCUGAAGAGCUAGCUCAGUUCCAUUUCCAGCGCUGAGUGGAGGUAGUUCAUCUGCCUGAAACUCCAGUUCCAGAAGCAGAGAAAGGGGACACCUCAGAGAAGCUAACUAUAGACUGAAUCAGUGAGCUCUGGUUCAUAGCAAGAGUCCCUGCUUCAGUUAAAAAAACAAAAAACUCUACAACCUCUAACGCACUUGUGAACAUGGUACAUACCACAAAUAUGUCCAUGCAUAUUUUUUAUAUGCAUGAGGAAGCACAACUUUUAACUCAGCAUUCAGGAAGCAGAAGCAAGGCAGAUUUCUGUAAGUUAGAGGACAGCCUGUUCUAUAUAAUGAGUUCCAGUCUACCCUGGGCAAUACAAUGAGAGCAAGUCUCAAAAAAAUCAAUAUACAUUUUUAAAUGUUCCCAUGGGGAGGAGAGAACUUGUUGCAGAGGACAGCUCAUUCCAACCCUGAGUUCUGAGCUGGAACUCAAUCAGCUUCAGUGGCAAGGGCCCUCGCCUGCUGAGGGCAACCUCCAGCUGCUGCAGAACUGCCUUGCGGUUUUAAACGGAG